rnacentral:tRNA from 1 species
GGCGGCAUGGCUCAGUUGGCUAGAGCAACCGGUUCAUACCCGGUAGGUCGCUGGUUCAAGUCCAGCUGCCGCCA